ACGAGAAAGUUCCUUCGGGAACGAGUAAAGUGGCGGACGGGUGAGUAACGCGUAGGAAUCUACCCUUUAGCGGGGGAUAACUCGGGGAAACUCGAGCUAAUACCGCAUAAAGUCUCUAGGGACUAAAGCGGGGGAUCUUCGGACCUCGCGCUAUAGGAGGAGCCUGCGUUGGAUUAGCUAGUUGGUAGGGUAAAGGCCUACCAAGGCGACGAUCCAUAGCUGGUCUGAGAGGACGAUCAGCCACACUGGAACUGAGACACGGUCCAGACGACUACGGUCGGCAGCAGUGGGGAAUUUUGCCCAAUGGGCGCAAGCCUGAGGCAGCUAUGCCGCGUGUGUGAAGAAGGCCUUAGGGUUGUAAAGCACUUUCAAUAGCGAAGAAGGUAAGCGGUUAAUACCCGUGGAUCUUGACGUUAACUAUAGAAGAAGUACCGGCUAACUCCGUGCCAGCAGCCGCGGUAAUACGGAGGGUACGAACGUUAAUCGGAAUUACUGGGCGUAAAGCGAGCGUAGGCGGUGUGAUAAAGCGAGAUGUGAAAUCCCUGGGCUUAACCUAGGAACUGCAUUUCGAACUGACACACUAGAGUGUAGUAGAGGGAUGUGGAAUGUGCUGUGUAGCGGUGAAAUGCGUAGAUAUAGCACGGAACACCAGUGGCGAANGCGGCAUCCUGGACUAACACUGACGCUGAGGUUCGAAAGCUAGGGGAGCAAACAGGAUUAGAUACCCUGGUAGUCCUAGCCGUAAACGAUGAGAACUAGCCGUUGGGCCCCAUAGGGGCUUGGUGGCGAAGCUAAC
rnacentral:rRNA from 1 species